UACGAAGGGGGCUAGCGUUGCUCGGAAUCACUGGGCGUAAAGCGCACGUAGGCGGCUUUUUAAGUCAGAGGUGAAAUCCUGGAGCUCAACUCCAGAACUGCCUUUGAUACUGGAGAGCUUGAGUCCGGGAGAGGUGAGUGGAACUGCGAGUGUAGAGGUGAAAUUCGUAGAUAUUCGCAAGAACACCAGUGGCGAAAGCGGCUCACUGGCCCGGUACUGACGCUGAGGUGCGAAAGCGUGGGGAGCAAACAGG
rnacentral:rRNA from 1 species